rnacentral:rRNA from 1 species
UACAGAGGGGGCAAGCGUUGUUCGGAAUUACUGGGCGUAAAGGGCGCGUAGGCGGCCUGCUAAGUCAUACGUGAAAUCCCUCAGCUUAACUGGGGAACUGCGUGUGAUACUGGAUGGCUUGGAUUUGGGAGAGGGAUGCGGAAUUCCAGGUGUAGCGGUGAAAUGCGUAGAUAUCUGGAGGAACACCGGUGGCGAAGGCGGCAUCCUGGACCAAUAUUGACGCUGAGGAGCGAAAGCCAGGGGAGCAAACAGG